AGGUAGAAUUUCCCAGAGUCCACAGAUAGCAGUGGUAAACUGAUGAGUCUUGACAAUGAUUGACGUCUUCGGGGCACUGGAAAACCAGUCAGCAUGACAAGGAGAUCCCCCUUUUUUAAAUUAUGAAAAACAAGAGAUUUAAGGAGGUUGGUAUCCCUUCCCCCAUGCUCUCCCCCCCCCAACUCAUUUAGUAAAAGCAGUGGUAAAAAAUAAAAGAAGAAGUUCUGUUUGCUACCAACAGACUUUGAACCCACUUCAAUCCUCCUUCCUGUGUAUAUUUUCUGAAGCUUCUUCUGAGCUUUGUAUUUCCUGAACCACAGAAGUGCCUAGUUUCCUGUCAUUAAAAAGUGAAUAUAAGCUUUUACAUAAUCUGAGUGAUCACGGCUUUAAUGGCCUAAUUCUCCUCUCUCUCGCACCAGACUUACUGUUACACACUGUUGUUGUUCAGAUAUGUUGAGUUUUACCAGUAUAACUAGCAUGAGAAUCAGGCCUACAGACCUCAGAUGAACCAGUCUACAUAAAUUUUGCUGUUUAUAACUAGUCUUACUUCCGACACACAUCUAAAUGUAUGUGAUGUGGUUUGGGGUGAGGAGAUAAGUACACAACAUGACGUCCCUGUUGGAGCAGUAUUAUUUUAAGUUUAUUGCUAUGACCGAUUUUUCCCCUUCAGCUAUAAAUUUGCCCAUGGGUGCUCCAGCCCAUGAGCAUUGCUCCAAGGCUGUUUAUGCACACACAGAGCACUGAAUUGCACAACUGUCCUAAAUGAACUGGGGCUGGGAGAAUGAAACAUUUCUCUCUGUGUCUUCCUACUUCACGUGAAAUGGGAUUUAUUUUUGCAGUGAUGUGUUGUGUAACUUGUGAGCAAGCAGAAAGCCAACUAUGCACCAGCAGGAAGGCUUGGAGUACUCUGAUUUUUGGCAUGAUGUGAGGUAUUGUGAACUGGUAUUAAGUAUCUGACAGUUAGCCCUCGGAAUUGGCAGCCAUACCCUGGAGACCAGUAUCCUGAAUAACCUAAUAUACAGAGUAUCGCUGGGACCAAACCGUGGUUUCAUUCAUCCCUUGUGCACACAUGCACAGAGCAGUGAGCGUUUGGGACUCACUUGAGUGCAUCCUGUAUGAAAGCGAAGCACCACACUCAGACCUUUGUGCUGCAGAAGCUAUGACAGGUAACUCCACACAAAGAUGUUGUGCCAUAUAGACAUCAGAAAUGAUGGAGGGAUGACAAUGCUGAAAGUACCCAAGGUGAAAAGCUCAACAGAAA
rnacentral:lncRNA from 1 species